UUAGAUUCACCAGAUGUUUGAUCAUUCGCUGAUAGAUUUAGAUUUUUUUUCUUCUAAUGAAGCUUUAAUUUGGCGUUUCGUUUAUGAAAGGGAAAGUACGUAGUACUGAAAUUGUUCUCGAGCGAUUUGGAUUUUAGGAUGGGUUUUGAAUCUGAACGUUUUAUAUGUGAUUAUGCUGUAGAUACCGAUAACUAACUAGUAUUACAAGUUCUCAGUUAUUCUCUGUUCCACAUGUGUG
rnacentral:lncRNA from 1 species